GCGGGGUGAUGAUGUAAGGCUAAUGAGCAGUGAAAUCCAUGAAUUUCAGCUCAUUUAUGCUGCAAAGGCCAAACUGUGUAUGAGCCAAUCUCCAUCCAUUCUGGUGACCUGUCUCCAGCUGUGCCCAGAGCUCUGCCAAAGGUCCCACAACACCCAAAAUGUUGAUGUGACCAACACUGGUCAUGGAAAGCCAGUGUGAAACCAGAACACAGCACCACCAGAAAUAAGUUUGAAUCCUGGAGCACAGAGGUCUUAUUUUGCCAAAGAAGAAAAUGUCUACUUUUUCCAAAGUGCUAUUUAUUGUGAUUUAUGAGAGGAAAAUGUUGAUUUAAAUGGAGUUUAUUAAAAAUGUUUUUUGCCUGGGAGUUGCAGAGGUGUUACAGUGGAACCUGAGAGGUUUGACAGGGGAUACCUGUGCCCUUCUCUGACCUGGCUGUGACAGAGGGAAGGGGAGGAUUCCUGCAGGGAUGGACCAGCAGCUGACAAUUGUCUGGAGAGCUGCUCCUGCUCCGUGGGCUCCCUGUGCUCCUCCAGCCACCUCCUGGCUCUGGUGCCAACCACCGAGGGCUCCCCAGUUCUGCAUCUGCUCUUCCCUCAGAGGGAGAGAUUUUGGCUUCACCCCAUCCCUCUUCUGGAAAGAGACAAAAUGUCAUGAAAUCUCCAAGGAGGAGGAGGAGGGAGAGGAUGAGCAGAAGAGGAUAAAAAAACUGGCACUGCACUUAAGGAAAAGAGAGAAAGCCACAUCUUUGGUGAGAGCAGCAACACGUUCUUACAGGCAAGUGGUAAAGAUUCACCUGCAGACACCAGAGCCCUGGGAAAUGCCAAAAUAUGUAAUUUCUUACUCAUGCUCUAGUUUUUAGCAUUAAACCUGUCAGAAAAGGAUGGGUGCUAAAGCAAAAUUGGAAUGUUGCACUCCCAGCUGACUCCAGGCACAAAGCCCUGAAGAGCAGGCACCACUGAAAGGGUUUGUUGUGCUCCUGGAUCCAAACCCUGUGUCCAGCAGCCCUGGCUCUCCUGGAAGGACAGCCCAGGGCUGUGCAGACAUUUCUCCUUUGUUGCAGGGCCUGUCCUACUUAGAGGCUUCUGCAAAAUGAGAUUGCAAGGACGGGAGUCUGCGCUGAGCUCUCGCUGCUCCAGGUGGCUCCUGCAGUGGGAAUUGCAGCCUCCAGCCCUUUCCAAAGAACAAUUGUGUCCCAGAUGGGCUGAAAUAAAAUGAAAUAAGAGAUCUCA
rnacentral:lncRNA from 1 species